UCAGAAACAUAUUGUUGAAGGAGGUAAGGACGGAUCUGGAGAGGUUUUUCCUCAGACUGGGGGGGAGAUGCCUGGUAUGAGUGAUGGGGUACAGGAGGGGGUCCAGGUGGGGCUAGUCUCCCAUGUAGUGGAGGAGAUGCCUGGUACUAGUGAUGAGGUAUAGGAGGGGGUUCAGGUGGAGCUAGUCUCCCAGGUAGUGGAGGAGAUGGUACUAGUGAUGGGGAACAGGAGGGGGUCCAGGUGGGGCUAGUCUCCCAUGUAGUGGAGGAGAUGCCUGGUAUGAGUGAUGGGGUACAGGAGGGGGUUCAGGUGGAGCUAGUCUCCCAGGUAGUGGAGGAGAUGGUUCUAGUGAUGAGGUAUAGGAGGGGGUUCAGGUGGAGCUAGUCUCCCAGGUAGUGGAGGAGAUGCCUGGUACUAGUGAUGGGGAACAGGAGGGGGUUCAGGUGGAGCUAGUCUCCCAGGUAGUGGAGGAGAUGGUACUAGUGAUGGGGUACAGGAGGGGGUUCAGGUGGGGCUAGUCUCCCAUGUAGUGGAGGAGAUGGUACUAGUGAUGGGGUACAGGAGGGGGUCCAGGUGGGGCUAGUUUCCCAGGUAGUGGAGGAGAUGCCUGGUAUGAGUGAUAGGGUACAGGAGGGGGUUCAGGUGGAGCUAGUCUCCCAUGUAGUGGAGGAGAUGCCUGGUACUAGUGAUGGGGUACAGGAGGGGGUUCAGGU
ensembl:lncRNA